GAAAUAUUCAAGCUUGCUAAAGCUAAAUAUCGAAUGAUACUGAAUUCCUCUGAAUUUCCGAGUUUAAACGAACUUCAUUCUUGUCUUACUUGGUAAACUUUAAUGAUUUGCCCAAGGUGCUGUCAUAUAUGCCAUUGGUUAUGACAGUUAUUCUCUAACUUCUAGUUUGGGUAAUAAUUUUUUUUUUUUUAAAAGAAAGAUAUAGAACCAAGCAUCUCUCAUGAGAAGAUGUAAGAAAAAUAGUUCCAGUCUGCGUGUUUUCCAACCCCAUCUUCACUUGAAAGGGGCUCCCAAUGGGAACAGAAAGAAGUUGUCAGAAAGGAAUUCUAGAAGAAGCCUAGGAGCCUGAUUUUUAGAUGGCUUAGCUGGCCAAGAUCAGAGUGAAACCAGAGGACCACUACUGGCUAGCAGAGCUUUUGAACAAAAUGUGACAGUGGUUUUAAAGCUGUGGGAGAUUUCAUAAUUUCAGAAAUAAGAAGCAAAACUUUGAGGCUAUGCUGAGGCAGCAGAAACACUGUACAGGAGUUGAGUACAUAGUGAAUAUAUUCUGUGGCCUGAAGGAAGGACUGUCGGUAAACUUUCUAAAUUUUCUUUGACUGCAUGUUCCUUGGGAAAAGCCUGCUUCUUUCUUUGCGUCGUAUAAAGAUUUGGACAACAUGAGCAUAAACCCAACAGGACUGGGACUUUUUGUGAUCUUGUAAUAACGGCAAUCAAUGGUAAACCACAUAGAUAUCCAGUAUGCUCUCCAGUACAACAGCAUCAUGGUAAUCUUCUCCUAGGUUAGGCACAGAAUAAUUUUCACUAAUGUAGGGAGCUUCAUAUACAAAAAAAAAAGAUGAUGAAUAUGCAUAAAAAGUACAUAGUUAUAAAAAUAUGGCCAGACUGCACUUCUGUAUUCUUUCUCAAAGUUGGAUGUUUUCAGGCAAACAUAUCUAACCUUUAAUCGUGUUUUCAUAAAGUAUCAAAACACAAGAGGCAAGAGAUCUGUGAUCACAUUUUAAUUCAUCAUAUCCUUUCUGUAGCUUUAAAGAGAUUUUAUCUUUUCUUAACCUACUCCUUAUUUUAGUUUUUCAGGAGCGAUGCGAGGGUAAAAUCCAUUAAUGGUUUUGAGAUAUUCAUAUUAAAGAUGUGAGGGCCAUGUAAGUACUGAGAUGUCAAGAAAUACUAAACAAUCUGCUGCUAACCUUUCUGCUUUUUCUGUGUGGUUCAUUAAUGUGCACUCUGAGAUGACCUUAGUAUUGCUGGUGGCACCAUUUCAGAUCCUGUUUGAAACAGCUCUUGAAUGACUCACUGUUUUAGGAAUAUGGAAAGUUUCCCAGAGUGCGUUUAUGCUUUGCUGCCUUAGACUUCAGGAGAUGGAGUUGAUCAGGAAGGCUGUUAGAGAUGACUAAAUGUACUUAUAAUGAGUGGACUAUUCUCCCCAGCUUUGGAACAACUGCUGGUGAUUUCUAAAAUAAAUAAUUCUAAAAAAAUCUAUUUGUGCCUGGUAGGAAGCAAAUACAGAUUGGUUUUGUGUUGCUCAUGAUGUAUCUUCAGAGGAUUGCAGAUGUCAGUUUCUUUACUUCAAGGAAAAUUUUCACAGUGGAGUAAUGACACAGAUGUAGUGUUGAUCUAAAAUAAUUUUUCUUUUUUUCCAAUACUUCUGUUCUCUUUUUUCUUCUUCCGGCAUGGCACUGAGCCUUAUGAUUCAAAUCCUAACUCCAAGAUUCUAAAAAUGUGAGUUAAGAUGUAGGUUUUCCACAUGGGUUGUUUUCAAAAUUGGCAUCUCCUCCUUCCACUGGCCAGGUUCUUCUGUUUGUUCCUUUGGCGAAAUUUAUAAGCUCAUGUUUUUGCCAUGGCAUGCUGUUGCUGUGGAAAUGAAUAUGAUGUCAUAGACCUGACAUGACUUCAGAUUCAGAGGAAAUAGGCUGCCAAGAAGCAAACAGAAGCUUGUUCAGAAUACAAUUGUGUUGGAGACUGAUGAUCUAAAUUCUAAUGGGAAUUUUCCCAUAACUGGAGAGAGAGGAAUUCAGGAUGUGGUCUGCAGGUCUAUUCCUGACACAGCCCUGAGUGUGAUGGGUACAGCAGGCCACGUCACAGUCAGCUAUUUUCUACAAGUUUGUUUAAAGGAAAAAAUAGAAAGUUAAACAGAGUGGCAUCUGAGAUUUUAAUUUGAAAAUGAAAAGCAUUUGAGAUUAGUGGGAUCCGAUUUCUUACUUGAAUUACUAUUUUGUUUCUGGAUUCUCUUUUUCUCCUUUCCACCUUUUUUUUUCCCUUCCUGACUGAAAGUUUUUAGUGAUUUAUUUGGGAGAAAAUCUUUGAAAAACAAAAAUGACAAAAGUGCUCACUUCUGCCUGCAAAUGAAGUUGGCAUGAAUUGGUUGGUGUGGAAAUGAACAAUUCAUAUCUUCUGGUUAAUGAGAAGCUUGACAUGAGCCGGCAAUGUGCGCUCACAGCCCAGAAGGCCAACCAUAUCCUGGGCUGCAUCAAAAGAAGCGUGGCCAGCAGGUCGAGGGAAGUGAUUCUGCCUCUCUAUUCCUCUCUUGUGAGACCUCACCUGGAAUACUGUUUCCAGUUCUGGAAUCGUCAAACUAAGAAGGAUAGGGAGCUGUUGGAACGGUCCAGAGGAGAGCUACAAGGAUGCUCAGAGGGCUGGAGCACCUUCCCUACAAGGGCGGGCUGAGAGAGUUGGGCUCGUUCAUCCUGGAGAAGAGAAAGCUCCGAGGAGAUCUUAUAGUGAACUUCCAGUACCUGAAGGGGCUACAGGAAAGCUGGAGAGAGGCUACUCAUAAAGUGAAGAUAGGACCGGGGGAAUGGGUAUAAACUGGAGAGGAGUGGAUUUAGACUGAACAUUAGGAAGAAUUUCUUCACCAUGAGAGUAAUGAGGAACUGGCACAGGUUGCCCAGGGAGGUUGUGGAUGUCCCAUCCCUGGAGGUGUUCAAGGCCAGAUUACGGGGCCUUGGGCAGCCUGAUCUAGUGGGAGGUGUCCCUGCCCAUGGCAGUGGGGUUAGAACUAGAUGAUCUUUAAGGUCCCUUCCAACCCUCACUAUACUAUGAUACUAUGAUCUGGAAUAAGAGUAAGUAUCUGGUUUAAAAGUCAAAGUUAACUAUUUUACUACUGGUCAGCAAAUUAAAGAAGAGGAGAUGAUCAUUAGUGGAAAACUCACAUGAAUUCAUAUCCACUUGCUGAGUGGAUAAUAUAGCUUUUCUGACUUUAGUUUAUUUUUCUUUACUGAGCAUGGAGUAAGAAAAGGGAAAAUAUAUAUGGAGAAUGGUGUAUCCUUUGAACCGAGUAAUUGGUAGAUGAUGAUAUAAAUCUGAAAAUACCAUCCAAGCUCAACAGAGAAGCAAAACCCCUGAUGCUCCUGAAUUCUGCUAAGAUUUAAGGAUACUGAAGGCAAAUCAUGUACAUUUAUAGUUUGAAAAAAUCUGCUGCUAACUAGCACUAACACCUUUCUUUCUGUUGAAUUUGAAUACUGGAACGCAGAAUCACAAAUUCAUAUAAUUAGCUGUAGCAACACUCUGAGUGGGUAUAUUGAGUGAAAAGGUGGUCUUUGCAGAUAAAAACUAUCUUCAAAACUGGAAAGUUAAAGUACAUUGUGAUUUCUCUAAGAUAUUCCUAUUAUAUAUGAGGUACCAAUGCCUAGACAAAACACUGGAGUAAAAAGAAUCGAGGUGAGAUCACAGUGAUGAUUCACACUUUGCUUUACAACACAAGAAUUUAGGUAGCUGUAGCUUGUUAAAAGGAGAUGGCUUAUUCUUGGAAUGAAUGCUUGCAUGGUGGGAAGAUAAUGACAGGUCCUUGCACUUAGCAAACAAAGUUAUUGCAAAAUUGUAAAGAAGUAAAACACCCCCUUAAAUUGGAUAUAUAGCGCAUAUGUUAAGAACUGUGGUGCAAAGGCUAUUUAAACACCAAAUGAAUAGUGAAGCGUCUUUUAUUGGAAGGCUGUAAAUAUCCAUGGGAUGUAGUUCUUAGUGAUAUGCAUUAGUACUGUCAGCAGUAUUGGACUUUAUAUGAGACUUUCAUCCAAGAAGUCUGUGGCCUAAGGUACAAACUACAGUUUCCAUAUUUGCCAGCCUUGCAGUCAGUCUUGAAUAUGUUAUUGGUUUUUGUAGAUGAAAACCGUGUUUUUAUUGCAGGAGGGAUAUUCCUAUGGUUAGACAUGCUGAUAGAGACACAUUUCAUUUGUGAAUAUGAUUACCAGUACAUUCUUGUACUUGGGAAAUGAAGAGGGGAAAAGAGAAUUAGUCUUUAAUAUAUCAGAGAUACCUGAGAAAAUAAAUCAGUGAUUUUGAAUGCCCUUGUUAGGAUUAGUUUUUAUGUUGCAUCUCUUUACAAUGGUUUUCAUUGCAUUCAAGGGCAUUGUUUCGUUAAUGUUUAUCAGUUUCUACUGUUAUUAUUAUUGUGGUUGUAAAACUUCACAAUAUAACACUGUAAAGACUAAUGAGCUGUUGCAAAUAACAUAUCAGGGAUACUUAGUUUAAAUAAUAUUUGAAAGAAUGAAUUUGGUUCAUGAGCUGUUAUGACAUGAAUUUUCCCUAGAACAGGGUUCAUUUUAAGGUAGCACAAGGCUGUAAGGCUUGUUUAAACUUUAGCAAGAUACUAGUUUUAAUUUGCAGGAAGAAUUUCACUGCACUUUCAGAGAUAUCUUUCAUCUUUAAUCAGUCGGUUUUAUUUUUAAACCUUACGUGUAAUAACUACAUGUGUUUAUGUACAUUUACAAGUUAAAAUGUUAUUUCUAUUGUAAAAAGUCUAUUUGUGAAAAAUGUUCCAAUAGUCCAAGAAGAAAUAGUACCCUGCAAAUAGCAUCAAAGACACAUCAAGGACAUUUUCUUGGAUGAACUUUUUCUGUGCUGCUUGUUGAUCUGAUGUUGUGAAAUGUUCUGGCAAUUUGUGAAGCAGUGAACGGAUGAGUUUCCUGCAGUUCUAGGAGGUGUCAUGGAUAUUGGACCACAGGAUUUCUUCUAAUUACAGCUGAACACACUGGUGCCUUGUGGUCAAUGUGACUUGAAAAGGAGAAAGUAGAUACGCCAAGUUUUUGUACAUAUUCAUUAGACUGAUGUAUUAAGAGAGAAUUAUUUAUGACAACAUGCCAUCUCUCUUGUUUUUGUUGUUUUUUUUCUAAAAAAACUUUGUUUUUUUUCUAAAAUGUUGCCAGGAAAAGAGAUGUUCUGGUACAUGGUAUUUCUUAAGUGCAAGUAGUUACAAUAAAAAUUGCCAAGAGUGGCAAAUUAUCCAGAUCAUUUGCUUUUUAAAAUAGCACCCUUUCCCACACACCCAUGUAGAUGUAAUUAAGAAAAAUGCUGUGCUUCUACUGGUCUGUAUUACGAAAAUCCUGCCCUGAAUUUUCUUUACUUCUGAUCAGGUUUGAAGAGAUUUAUGCUAUUGCACAGACUGCAUUGUAACACAUCUCCUCUACCACAACUUCAUCACGGCAACCCUAAGUGUUACAGUUUAAAAAACUGUGAUACCUAUGGAGUAAUAGAUAUUUUCAUGGGUUUGGGUGUUCAGGCUGAUGCAUACCGUGAACCACAGUAAUGAUUUUGCCUAUUUAUCGCAUUCCAACAGCAAGGCUUGUGUGAAAUAGGGACUCUAGGUAUUAAUUGCAGAUAGUCUGCUCUCUAUUUUACCUUGGAUUCAGAGUGAACUAGAGGUAGUCCCUUUGAAAUCAGCAGGGGAGUUGAUGGAGGGAUAUGCAACUCAUCUGAAUCUUGAAAGAAGGAAUCAGGUCAAUAGCUGGUAUUUUUACCAGAGGCACCUAAGAGGCUUUUGAGGCUGAAUUCCUCUUUUGGUUCUGCAGCUGGCUCGGCUUAGUCUCAGCUGGAAAAUAUAGGGGUGGAUCUCAUAUUAGGGCUAGUCUUUAGAAGCAAUAAUUUUACAAAUAAAUUAAGGUAUGGUCUCAGAUCAGAAUCAUUAUUCUGCUAUGACUUUCACAGAGAUGCUUGUCUUACGUUUUAGCUUGUGCUAAUUUUGGACCUAGAUUAAAUUAAAUAGUGUGAAGGCAGGUUUAUUGUUAAAUAAGAAUGUCCAUAUGGUGUGCUAAUGCCAAGUUAUUAGAGCCAUUUCCUAUUAUAGGACAAGCUCUUACAGGUGUUUAUGGAACCCUUCUCCCAUGAAAAUGAAUGUCAAUCUAGUGCUGUCAAUCAGGGCCCUUGCAUUCUAUUAAUUUCUAGUGUUACUAAAAAUGUUUUUUUUUAUUAUGGAUUGAAUGUAAAGAGCUAAAAACCACGAUGAAACACACACAGUCUAAAUUUUCAGGCUGCUCAAGCAUCCAUUUGAGAGGAAGGAUUCCUCUUAUUGGGACACAGGUGUGUAACAUACUGCCGAUGACACAUUAGAAUUUUGGGUAGAUAAAUAAUUUCUUUAUUCAGUAGAUCUAACACUUAUGAGAAACUGAAGCUUAUGAUAUAAUCAGAAAUAACUGUAAGUGAUUGGAAGAAUAUUUUGUCUUACAUGACAGCCCAAAAUAUUUAUUAAAGAAAAAUACUGUGUUUUGUUUCCCAUCAGAAAUAUUGAAAC